rnacentral:miRNA from 1 species
CUGUGAAGUUUUCGUAUCUAUUAGGUUGGCCAAAAAGUUCAUUCGGGUUUGUCCUUAAGCUUUACUCGAAUGAACUUUUUGGCUAACCCGAUACAUU